UACGGGGGGAGCAAGCGUUGUUCGGAUUUACUGGGCGUAAAGGGCGCGUAGGCGGCCAGCACAAGUCAGUUGUGAAAUCUCCGGGCUUAACUCGGAAAGGUCAACUGAUACUGUGCGACUAGAGUGCGGAAGGGGCAACUGGAAUUCUUGGUGUAGCGGUGAAAUGCGUAGAUAUCAAGAGGAACACCUGCGGCGAAGGCGGGUUGCUGGGCCGACACUGACGCUGAGGCGCGAAAGCUGGGGGAGCAAACGGG
rnacentral:rRNA from 1 species